rnacentral:rRNA from 1 species
AGAGCUUGCUUUUUAAGCUUAGUGGCGAACGGGUGAGUAACGCGUGAGGAACCUGCCUUUCAGAGGGGGACAACAGUUGGAAACGACUGCUAAUACCGCAUGACGUGUUCGGAUGGCAUCAUCUGAACAUCAAAGAUUUAUCGCUGAAAGAUGGCCUCGCGUCUGAUUAGCUGGUUGGUGAGGUAACGGCCCACCAAGGCGACGAUCAGUAGCCGGACUGAGAGGUUGACCGGCCACAUUGGGACUGAGACACGGUCCAAACUCC